rnacentral:rRNA from 1 species
GACUGGAGUCUGCAACCCGACUCCACGAAGCUGGAUUCGCUAGUAAUCGCGCAUCAGCCACGGCGCGGUGAAUACGUUCCCGGGCCUUGUACACACCGCCCGUCAAGCCAUGGGGAGCCGGGGGUACCUGAAGUGCGUAACCGCGAGGAGCGCCCUAGGGUAAAACUGGUGACUGGGGCUAAGUCGUAACAAGGUAAC